GUGGGGAAUCUUGCGCAAUGGGGGAAACCCUGACGCAGCAACGCCGCGUGGGUGAUGAAGGCCUUCGGGUCGUAAAGCCCUGUCAGGUGGGAAGAAACAUGCCGAUAUGAAUAAUGUCGGCACUUGACGGUACCACCGGAGGAAGCACCGGCUAACUCCGUGCCAGCAGCCGCGGUAAUACGGAGGGUGCAAGCGUUGUUCGGAAUUAUUGGGCGUAAAGCGCGUGUAGGCGGUCGGGUAAGUCAGAUGUGAAAGCCUUCCGCUCAACGGAAGAAGUGCAUUUGAAACUGCCUGGCUAGAGUACGGGAGAGGAGAGUGGAAUUCCCGGUGUAGAGGUGAAAUUCGUAGAUAUCGGGAGGAACACCAGUGGCGAAGGCGGCUCUCUGGUCCGAUACUGACGCUGAGACGCGAAAGCGUGGGGAGCAAACAGGAUUAGAAACCCGUGUAGUCC
rnacentral:rRNA from 1 species